UAUAUUUGAGAGUUUGAUCCUGGCUCAGGAUGAACGCUGGCGGCGUGCCUAACACAUGCAAGUCGAGCGAACCCUUCGGGGUGAGCGGCGGACGGGUGAGUAACGCGUGGGUAACCUGCCCUGUACACACGGAUAACAUACCGAAAGGUAUGCUAAUACGGGAUAACAUAUGAGAGUCGCAUGGCUUUUGUAUCAAAGCUCCGGCGGUACAGGAUGGACCCGCGUCUGAUUAGCUAGUUGGUAAGGUAACGGCUUACCAAGGCAACGAUCAGUAGCCGACCUGAGAGGGUGAUCGGCCACAUUGGAACUGAGACACGGU
rnacentral:rRNA from 1 species